rnacentral:lncRNA from 1 species
GUUGCAAAUUCCCGGGUUUGAGUCGAGUAGAAUCGUCUUCUUCCUAGUGUUCCUCUGUUUGGUAUUCGAAUUUAAAAUGGCUUAUAUCCGUACUUCUUCAUCUUCUUAUUCCCCUGUUUCUGUGUUAACUCUGUUCCAACUCAUACCUAUGUAAUAUAUCAGAUUGUUGAGAUAAGUUCUAACUCUCAAUAUUUAUUGGUUUUAUAAAAUGAUUAAAAAGUACUACUACCAACCUGAAAUUAUAAGGAAUCGAAUACGGUCGAUUCUUUCCAAGUACUACAUUCAAGAUUUGGUUUCGGACCACAUAAAAAAAAAAGUUGAAUUGAUGAAAAAGGUUGAUGUAUCUCCUCUCAUGAUUCAUAAACAAACAAAUAAUUUGAUAAAUGAACUGUCUAUUUCACGAGUAAGAUCCAAAACCGUCUCCAUCGUACAAAGAUAUUUCACCUUGUUGUGAAUUCGUGUCACCACACACUCACUGCAAAUGGUCACACAGGCACUGCAACUAGCUACAGAUGUUUCCAGACACAAAUAAUAAAAACCUUCGAGAUAUUUUUUAUACCAUCCAUGAGUCCAUGA